GAUGAACGCUGGCGGCGUGCCUAAUACAUGCAAGUCGAGCGAACGGACGAGAAGCUUGCUUCUCUGAUGUUAGCGGCGGACGGGUGAGUAACACGUGGAUAACCUACCUAUAAGACUGGGAUAACUUCGGGAAACCGUAGCUAAUACCGGAUAAUAUUUUGAACCGCAUGGUUCAAAAGUGAAAGACGGUCUUGCUGUCACUUAUAGAUGGAUCCGCGCUGCAUUAGCUAGUUGGUAAGGUAACGGCUUACCAAGGCAACGAUGCAUAGCCGACCUGAGAGGGUGAUCGGCCACACUGGAACUGAGACACGGGCCAGACUCCUACGGGAGGCAGCAGUAGGGAAUCUUCCGCAAUGGGCGAAAGCCUGACGGAGCAACGCCGCGUGAGUGAUGAAGGUCUUCGGAUCGUAAAACUCUGUUAUUAGGGAAGAACAUAUGUGUAAGUAACUGUGCACAUCUUGACGGUACCUAAUCAGAAAGCCACGGCUAGCUACGUG
rnacentral:rRNA from 1 species